AGAGUUUGAUCCUGGCUCAGAUUGAACGCUGGCGGCAUGCCUUACACAUGCAAGUCGAACGGCAGCGCGGGGCAACCUGGCGGCGAGUGGCGAACGGGUGAGUAAUAUAUCGGAACGUACCCUGGAGUGGGGGAUAACGUAGCGAAAGUUACGCUAAUACCGCAUACGAUCCAAGGAUGAAAGCAGGGGACCGCAAGGCCUUGUGCUCCUGGAGCGGCCGAUAUCUGAUUAGCUAGUUGGCGGGGUAAAAGCCCACCAAGGCAACGAUCAGUAGCUGGUCUGAGAGGACGACCAGCCACACUGGAACUGAGACACGGUCUAGACUCCUACGGGAGGCAGCAGUGGGGAAUUUUGGACAAUGGGCGCAAGCCUGAUCCAGCAAUGCCGCGUGAGUGAAGAAGGCCUUCGGGUUGUAAAGCUCUUUUGUCAGGGAAGAAACGGUGGGGGCUAA
rnacentral:rRNA from 1 species